rnacentral:rRNA from 1 species
AUCCUAGAUAGGAUUCGUGCGCGCCUCGCUGGUUGGAAAGGCAGACUAAUGCAUAUCGCCGACCGUAGGGUGAUCGUCCGCUGCGUCCUCUCCGCCAUGCCAACGUUCGCCCUCACGGUACUGGGAGCGCCAAAGAAGUUUUUCAAGGAGGUAGAUAAAGCCAGACGACGUUUUCUCUGGGCACAAGACGAAGAAGUAACCGGAGGAAAGUGUAAGGUAGCAUGGAGCGCGGUCACCACGCCAGAAUCCCACGGGGGCCUCGGCAUACAUGACUUGGAAAAAUUCGCGCACGUCCUCCGUCUGCGCUGGCUCUGGCUCUCCUGGACCCAUCCAGAGCGGCCAUGGGUCGGC